GAGGGCGCCUCUGCACACAACGCUUAUCGGUCGAUCCUUCGUCUUUCGUGGUCUCUGUAUUUUUACCCCUUUUCUAAUUAUCCCAGCCAUUGUCAGAUGUCGUAAGUAUCACAGGUAGUAUCAUAGGUGAAAUUAUGCGUUAAGUAUUGUUAUUCGUGUAUUUUUGACGCGUUCGUUUUGGUGACACCUUUUCCUCUGGUCUAUCGAUUCGACUUGCUCUUAGCAACGUAAAUGUACGAGCAAUGGGCGAAGAUAGCGUUGCUGCGAGUUCAACGAACUCGCUGGGUUGGGUGGCAGUUUGACAAGAAUGAACUUCUUCUUGUCAAGUUUUACGCCUAGGAAUCAUUGAAUCAAACGCAGUACUGGGCAAUCUAAAUUGCACGAUGAUUACGGCACGAUUGCAACUUCUACACGUCUUUUAUGCUCGACGACUAAUUUCUGUUGCCGUAUAAAUUAAUAGAGUUGCUGCUCAGUUAUUGAAAUGUUAUGAUUACAGACUUUCUCCUGACGUUAUCGAUGGACGUGUUUUAUAAUUACUCGUUCAAGAUGAGGUAAGCAAUUAAAGGAGGAAGGAGGCAAAGCGUGUAUUGUUUUAUUCUUAUUUCAUAUGUGUUUUAUUGCGAGCAAAGUAAAAUCUACGUUGUACCAAUUAAUAAGGAGCUCUUCUCUUUUAAAAUCGAAUGUCGACGUUCUUACCUGAUCAAUCAUUUAAAAUGUCCCUUUCCUUUAAAAAACAUCGAUCUAAUUUCUGAUCGAUCGAAAUUGAUCUAACUUUGACAAUAGCACGAAAGAUCGAAAUUAUUCCUCGAUAGUAACGUUUGUCUUCAUACGUAAAAAAGUAUUUUGGGAAUCCAUGGAUUUUAUUAACCUUAAUUUCCUCUACCUUAAAGAGGCGAAAUUUGUGACAUUUGAUGCGCGAUCGAAUUUUUACGAAUCGAUAACAAUACGAUAAAAAUCUUUUUGUGACUCAAA